AUCCAGAUGACGAGUCCCAAAAAAGACGAAAUGUGAAUCCUAGAU
rnacentral:hammerhead_ribozyme from 1 species